GGGCGUAAGGGCUCGUAGGCGGUUCGUCGCGUCCGGUGUGAAAGUCCAUCGCCUAACGGUGGAUCUGCGCCGGGUACGGGCGGGCUGGAGUGCGGUAGGGGAGACUGGAAUUCCCGGUGUAACGGUGGAAUGUGUAGAUAUCGGGAAGAACACCAAUGGCGAAGGCAGGUCUCUGGGCCGUCACUGACGCUGAGGAGCGAAAGCGUGGGGAGCGAACAGGAUUAGAUACCC
rnacentral:rRNA from 1 species